AACUCUUGUAUUUUUCUCACUAGUUUCCAUCAUUAUUAGCAAUCCUUUUCCUAUAGUUUGGAUAUGGGUUGCACUGUGCUGUAAAGGCUCAUGCGCUGAAAGCUUGGUCCUUGGUGUGGUAAAGUUGAGGUGGUAGAACCUUUAAGAGGUGGGGCCUAGUAAGAGGUUACUAGGUUUCUGCAGGUGUUGGCUUUAGAAGGAAUUAAUGUAGCUGGGCACAGUGGCACACACCUAUAAUUCCAGCAGCACAGGAGCCCAAGUGACAGAAAGGAGGAUCCCAAGUGACAGAAAAUGAACUAUGACACCUCUAUACCUAUUAAUACCUUUUGUCUUUUAAGCCUAUUGCCUGAUAUGAAAAUGGUUACUCUUGCUGAUUUGGUAAGAAUUUACAUAGUAGUUUAGAGUACUGAUGUUAGAUUCUGCCACACUAAAAGAAACUAUAGAAAUUGAACUUAGCAUUUGUUGUCAAAAUCCAGUGUUUGAAGUCAUAUCAUAAAUCGUCUUCAUAGUCAUUAGGAUUAGAGAGGCAGGGAAGAAAUAACCUUUUGACUAUCUAUUUUGUCUAAAUUACUUUUUUUGAAGUUUUAAAUCUGGCUUGAAAUAGACAAAAACAUGAAUUUCUGGCAAUAGUGUCAUAAGUAUAUAAACAGGCAGAUGUAGAGGAGUCAGUAUGAUCAAAUGCUGUUCUUUACAUUGAAUAUUUGAAUCUUAUGUUUAAAGAAGUUAGUUUUAGUUUUUUUUGAUAGAAGUUAGUUUUUAGUUCUUUUGAUACUUUGUAUAUUAUCAAAUUAUUCAGGAUUUGAUGAUUUAUCAGUAUGUAGAGAACUAUAUAAUAUUUGAAUUAUGUACUUAUAAGAGCUUGUUUAUAUUUUAUACUACUAUACUUUGGGGGAAAAAAGGCCAAAGAAAAAAUACAGUAUUUGAGGGGAAAAAAACUGGCCAUAAAGAAUAUUUAAAAAAAAUAGCCCCAUAAGAUUUAGAAUUCUCAUUCAUGGAAUUACAGUUAUGAAUUGUUUCUAUCCUUCUUCCCCAAAAUGCCUCACCAAUGAUAUUUGUUUACAAGUAAUUUUGGGACUAAGGAGUUAGUAUCUUGUAUUAAUCAAUGGCUAACAGUGCUUUCUUUCUUUCUUUCUUUCUUUUUACUCACAUAGUUUUUUUUCUUUAAAAAAAAAAGAAAAACAACACUGUAGAACCAGUAUUGCAGUUCUAUAGUGUCAUUUCGUAUUAAAAACAAAUAAACAAACAUUUGAUUAUGUUUAAUAUGGUGAGAAUUUUUUAAAUAGAAAACUGGUUUGAAUUUAGGCCAAAUGCUAUGUUUUGAGUUUAAGAAUGUGAUUGGUUUCCAACAGUACCAUUGAUAUUUGGUUAAGUUACUUUGUGUUGAACUUUGCUAUCCCAAGUGGACUUUGUGUUGAACUUUGCUAUCACAAGUGUUUGAACCAAACAGAGGACUUUAUGUUGAACUUUGCUAUCACAAGUGUCUGAACCAAAUUUGUGUUCCAUCUCCAGUUCGAUGUGACUCAACAGAUUACCCUGGAGACUGACAGCUUCAAGGCAGUACUGUGGUAUCAUUAGCCGUAAAGUAAUGAAUUUCCUGGAUAAAAUACUUAGAGACAAACUCCAACAAUCCAAGAAAUGUGUUAAUACAGUGUCACAACUUGGGCUUAUCUGAAGAUUGGAUGCAGGAUCCACUCAUCAUCAUUUCAAAGAGGAUUAUCUGAGGUGAAAGGAAAAUUGAUGGCUCUCUGUUCAUGUUUUCUGAUGUUAAAAUGAUGUGCUGUUUGGUGGUCUUGAAAUUUUCCUCUUGGAACUCAGAACAAGGAACAGGAACAGAAACACAAAAAAUAUCUUCCAGGAAUAUAAGAGACAUCAGAAUUAUGAAAGUACAAAUAGAGGAAUGCCAUAAUAUUGAAGUUUUAUCAGGACUUUUAAAAUGUGGAGAAAGAGGAAGGGCAAGAUUACUAGAAAGAAGCACCCAGCACUCACUUCCCCCCUGCAAAAGAAGAACCAAAGUAACAGG